CGCAGCGGAACAGGAGAAACUCAAAACCCCAACGACGCCGUGAGCCCGGCCCGCAAGGGGACAAAGCGGGAGGGGUUUCUGAUGGCGCCGAAGCGGAAGCCUGCCGCGGCGGCGAAGUCGGACCCUGAUGGCAUAUUCCGCGGCGUCUCCGCUUUCAUCGUUCCCAACGGCGUCCAGGCUCGCCGCCUCGUGGUGUGGAAGCAGAGGCUGGUGCAGAUGGGGGGCCGAGUCGUGGAGAAGCCCACGAAGGGCGAGCUGGCGGGGGUCAACCACGUGUUGGCCAUGGACGCCAAGGCGCUACUCCGGGAGCUUGACGCCGCUUGGCUCCACCGCUUCCGCGGGAGUGUGGUGUCCUUCGAAUGGAUUGAGGAGUGCCUCAAGUCUGGGGAGAGGCUGCCCAUCCACAACUUUGCAAUCAAUUACGAAAAGGAAUUUAAGCCAAAGAAUGCGGUUUGCACUGGAAAUCUAGUUGCGUCACGGCCCUCUAAAAGGACCAAAAUGUCGUCUGAGUAUCCUGGGGACCACCAGAUAAUUAGUGGAGGGGAUAGGGAGAAGGAACUAGCAGCUGGAGGGCCUCCAGGUGCAAGUGCACAUGUGGUUGAAGGAUCAAGUGCGGGGAAGCAGCCUAACCAGUAUGCAAGUAGCCAAAGUAGCUCAGCAGAUUCCAAGGACACCAUAGGUUCGCAUGGUACAUUUGGCAUAGAGGAAGCCUCUUCUGGAGGACCCAGCAUAUAUGCUCCAGCAGACUUGAACAAGAACAUCACCAAAAUUUUUGGAAGGCUUAUCGAUAUAUAUAGGGCCCUGGGAGAUGACAGAAGAUCAUUUAGUUAUUACAAGGCCAUACCGGUGAUUGAGAAAUUGCCAUUCAAAAUCGAAAGUGCUGAUCAAGUUAAAGGUCUCCCUACUAUCGGGAAAUCUUUGAAAGACCAUAUAAAUGAAAUAGUCACCACUGGAAAACUUUCCAAGCUGGAACACUUUGAGAAUGAUGAAAAGGUACGAACGAUCAGUUUAUUCGGUGAAGUUUGGGGAGUUGGUCCUGCAACUGCGCUCAAGUUAUAUGAGAAGGGACACCGUACUCUUGAUGAUCUACAGAGAGAUGAGUCACUUACAAAUGCACAGAGGAUUGGAUUAAAGUUUUUUGAUGAUAUCAAGCAAAGAAUACCCCGACAUGACGUUAGCGAGAUGGAGAAACUUUUACAAGAUGUUGGGACUGAUAUCUUGCCUGGGGUAACAAUUGUUUGUGGAGGAUCAUAUAGACGCGGUAAAGCAUCUUGUGGUGACAUGGAUAUUAUUAUAACUCAUCCUGAUGGAGAAAGCCAUGUAGGAUUUUUAUCCAAGUUUGUUCAACGGCUGAAGGAAAUUAACUUUUUGAGGGAGGAUCUUAUCUUUAGCAUACACAGUGUUGAUGUAAGUUGUUAAACACCAUCAACUGGGGACUGAUAGCGGGGUUGACACAUACUUUGGUCUUUGCACAUACCCUGGGCGUGAGCUGCGGCACCGCAUCGACUUAAAGGUGUACCCGAGGAACAGAUAUGCAUGUGGUCUGCUUGCAUGGACUGGAAAUGAUGUACUAAAUCGGCGAUUUAGGCUACUAGCAGAAUCCAAAGGAUAUGUACUUGACGAUACUGGAUUAUACCUAGCUACACGCGGCAGUGGUGGAAAGCAUGCUGGCAGAUCAGACGCCAUAGUUAACUGUCACACCGAGAAGGAUGUGUUUGAGACGCUUGGAUUCCCUUGGCUGGAACCACAUGAGCGCAACCUUUAGGGCUUGUUUGGAAACUCAAACCCCUAGGGAUCCCAACCUUUACUAGGUAAGCAAUCCAUGGGGAUGUCAUUUGGAUAAGCCAUUUAGUUCUCCUUAUAGGACUUCUCAUUCCUAGGGUUGCCUCCCUCUUGCUUCCAAAUUAGGCCCUAGCUGUUUUUGAACGUUCAUCUAGAGAAUGUGUUUUGUACAGUUAGUUAUAUAUGUUACCUGUAUCUUUAACCUACCUCGACUUUCUGGGUACUAACAGCCUUUUGUACUGAUUGUUGUUCAUACUUCCCCUUUUUGUGCUGUCACUAGUAGGCAGUUUUUGUUCA